UCUUUUAGAGUAAUCCAUUGUUUUUGACAUAUUCGCUUGCAGUCAGGUCAAAGACAAAGGUUGGGUAGAAGCACAAUACACGAGGAACAGUUAAGAAAAGCCGCAAAAAAAGGUUCACGUGCUGUGAACAGUAACUGAACAGUGCUGACAAACAAUAAUUGUAAACAGUGCACAUGAACAGUACCCAAAGAGAUCAUGAACAGUACUCAUGAACAAUGCGCAUGAACAAUACUAAAACCCGCCCUAAUGAAUCAAAAGAUCUAAUGCCAUGUUGAAACUAAUGUAUUUGAG
rnacentral:misc_RNA from 1 species